AAACUGCGAUAAGUAGUGUGAAUUGCAUUUAGUGAAUCAUCGAAUCUUUGAACGCACCUUGCGCUCCUUGGUAUUCCUUGGAGCAUGCCUGUUUGAGUAUCAUGAAAUCUUCAAAGUAAAUCUUUUGUUAACUCAAUUGGUUUCUACUUUGGUAUUGGAGGUCUUUGCAGCUUCACACCUGCUCCUCUUUGUUCAUUAGCUGGAUCUCAGUGUUAUGCUUGGUUCCACUCGGCGUGAUAAGUUAUCUAUCGCUGAGGACACUGUAAAAGGUGGCCAAGGUAAAUGCAGAUGAACCGCUUCUAAUAGUCCAUUGACUUGGACAAUACUUUUAUGAUCUGAUCUCAAAUCAGGUAGGACUACCCGCUGAACUUAAGC
rnacentral:misc_RNA from 1 species